CGACACCCAACUGCUUUGACAACACCUCUCCUGGGCACUGGCCCUCCUACAAAAUUUGGGAUUUUUAAUCAAUUGGAAAAAGUCAAUAUUGACCCCAUCCCAGACCAUGGAAUUCUUGGGAUUCAACAUAGACGCGACAAAAGGAACACUACCAUGAAGGUCAAGAGCAUCAGGAAGGAAAUCCGCAGGACAUUGGCACGCCCAAUAUUAACCUUACGACAAUUGGCC